GACGGAGGAUGCAAGUGUUAUCCGGAAUCACUGGGCGUAAAGCGUCUGUAGGUGGUUCGAAAAGUCCACUGUUAAAAAUUGAAGCUUAACUUCAAAGAUGCCGUGGAAACUUUCAAACUAGAGUGUGGUAGGGGUAGAGGGAAUUCCUGGUGUAGCGGUGGAAUGCGCAGAUAUCAGGAGGAACACCAAUAGCGAAGGCAGCUCGCUGGGACGUUACUGACACUGAGGCGCGAAAGCGUGGGGAGCGAACAGG
rnacentral:rRNA from 1 species